CGUUAACGUCGCACAAACGAUUUCCAACAUUUCUUGUGCCAGGAGGCAUCUUCUUCCACCGAUUCCCAUUCCUCUCUCUCUCUCUCUACCCGAAGCAAUCCAAACACGAAAGGCCUACCCAAACAUCGAUAAUAAUCAUCCAGAAAGACGACGACGACGACGGAAACAAGAAUCACACAGAGUGCGCGCGAUGCAGCAGAGACCUAGGCGCAGGUGCGAGGGCACGGCCAUGGGUGCCAUCGUAUUGGAUCUCCGCCCUGGCCUCGGAAUCGGACCCUUCUCUCUCGGAAUGCCGAUUUGCGAAGCUUUUGAUCAAAUAGAGCAGCAACCUAACAUCUACGAUGUUGUCCACGUGAAGUACCUUGACGAGGAGCCUCUAAAACUGGAUAUUGUUAUAAGCUUUCCGGAUCAUGGUUUCCAUCUUCGUUUCGAUCCAUGGUCACAGAGGCUACGGCUUAUUGAAAUUUUUGAUGUUAAGCGGCUUCAAAUGCGUUAUGCUGCUACCUUGAUUGGGGGACCUUCCACUCUAGCUACUUUUGUAGCUGUAUAUACACUUUUUGGGCCAACAUUUCCUGGAAUUUAUGACAAAGAUAGAGGUGUCUACACCCUAUUCUAUCCAGGAUUAUCCUUUUCUUUUCCGAUUCCAGCUCAGUAUACGGAUUGCUGUCGUCAUGGAGAAGCGGAGUUACCCUUGGAGUUCCCGGAUGGCACUACUCCAGUCACUUGCCGUGUCUCUAUCUAUGAUAGCUCUACAGAUAGUAAAGUUGGUGUUGGUUCGCUAACAGACAAGGCUCAUGCUCCUCCUCUGCCUGUUGGCAGCCUCUAUAUGGAAGAGGUGCAUGUUGAGCUUGGGGAAGAGUUAUGGUUUACUAUUGGCGGGCAGCAUAUCCCAUUUGGUGCAUCACCACAAGAUGUGUGGACUGAAUUAGGCCGUCCUUGUGGAAUUCAUCAAAAGCAGGUAGAUCAAAUGGUGAUACAUUCUGCCUCUGAUCCUCGGCCACGGACAACUCUCUGUGGUGAUUACUUCUACAAUUAUUUCAGUCGUGGCUUGGACAUAUUAUUUGAUGGCCUGACUCACAAAAUCAAGAAAUUUGUUUUGCACACCAACUUUCCAGGGCAUGCAGAUUUUAAUUCGUACAUAAAGUGCAAUUUUUCUAUUUAUAGUUCUGAUUUUGGUGGGUCGUUUCAUCGUGAAGUAAAUCCCUCUAAACAUUGCAUUACACCCAGCACAAAAUGGGAGCAAGUGAAGGAGAUUCUUGGGGAUUGUGGCCGAGCUGCCAUCCAAACAAAAGGUUCUGCAAGCAAUCCUUUUGGAUCAACUUUUGUAUAUGGCUAUCAGAAUGUUGCUUUUGAGGUUAUGAAGAAUGGUUAUAUCGCAACUGUCACUCUCUUCCAGUCAUGAUGAAGUGCUGUUUGUAUUUAUUUGUGUGUAGAUUUUGAACGGUGGUUGAUUUGAGUUGGUGAAGUUGAUAUUUAUGCUUCUAGAAGACUCGAAUUAGAUCUCUGGUACGACAUCCAGGGUGCUGGUGGCUUUGUACAUAGUGGUUAUAAAACAGCAAGUACUGCUUGUAAUAAUCCUGGUGGAGUCUUUCAUAUUUGUACAGCUCUGUAAUUGCUUGUACAGUUCAUGUAAUGCAUUUAAUUAACGAAGUAUCAUGCGGGAAGGUUUAUCGCGUAGAAUCUGGUAUAACAAGAAAUGUUGAAUGAGGAA